CAGCACCCCGAGUGGUCGGGACGAUUAUUGGGCCUAAAGCAUCCGUAGCCGGUCUUGCAAGUCUUCCGUUAAAUCCACCUGCUUAACAGAUGGGCUGCGGAAGAUACUACAAGACUAGGAGGCGGGAGAGGCAAGCGGUACUCAGUGGGUAGGGGUAAAAUCCUCUGAUCCAUUGAAGACCACCAGUGGCGGAGGCGGCUUGCCAGAACGCGCUCGACGGUGAGGGAUGAAAGCUGGGGGAGCAAACCGGAUUAGAUACCCGAGUAGUCC
rnacentral:rRNA from 1 species